AAGCCCUGUCAUGCGACAGGGCUUCAGAAUGUAGAAAAUCUCAAGAUCUAUUGAAGCAAGUUAAAAAGUUCUGCUAAUGUAACAUUGUAUUUCCGAUUUUUGCGAGCGGAGCGAGCCUCAUCAGAUACUUUUCGCUGUGGUGAAAGUAGCGUCAUGACCGGUGAUGACGCUACUCGGAAAUUUUGAGACUUUGGGCUCAAAAUGUAGGUAUGGAAUUCCGUAGGAAGUCGCUACCGUCCGCACCACCUAAGAAAAGUAUUACAGAAGAACUUUUUCUUCAAAAUAAAGCCCUGUCAUGCGACAGGGCUUUU
rnacentral:ncRNA from 1 species